rnacentral:rRNA from 1 species
UGGGGAAUAUUGCACAAUGGGCGCAAGCCUGAUGCAGCCAUGCCGCGUGUGUGAAGAAGGCCUUCGGGUUGUAAAGCACUUUCAGCGAGGAGGAAGGUGGUGAGCUUAAUACGCUUAUCAAUUGACGUUACUCGCAGAAGAAGCACCGGCUAACUCCGUGCCAGCAGCCGCGGUAAUACGGAGGGUGCAAGCGUUAAUCGGAAUUACUGGGCGUAAAGCGCACGCAGGCGGUUUGUUAAGUCAGAUGUGAAAUCCCCGGGCUCAACCGGGGAACUGCAUUUGAAACUGGCAAGCUAGAGUCGCGUAGAGGGGGGUAGAAUUCCAGGUGUAGCGGUGAAAUGCGUAGAGAUCUGGAGGAAUACCGGUGGCGAAGGCGGCCCCCUGGACGAAGACUGACGCUCAGGUGCGAAAGCGUGGGGAGCAAACA